GACGAACGCCGGCGGCGUGCUUAACACAUGCAAGUCGAACGGAAAGGCCCUGCUUUUGUGGGGUGCUCGAGUGGCGAACGGGUGAGUAACACGUGAGUAACCUGCCCUUGACUUUGGGAUAACUUCAGGAAACUGGGGCUAAUACCGGAUAGGAGCUCCUGCUGCAUGGUGGGGGUUGGAAAGUUUCGGCGGUUGGGGAUGGACUCGCGGCUUAUCAGCUUGUUGGUGGGGUAGUGGCUUACCAAGGCUUUGACGGGUAGCCGGCCUGAGAGGGUGACCGGCCACAUUGGGACUGAGAUACGGCCCAGACUCCUACGGGAGGCAGCAGUGGGGAAUAUUACACAAGGGGCGGAGGCCUGAUGCAGCAACGCCGCGUGCGGGAUGACGGCCUUCGGGUUGUAAACCGCUUUCGCCUGUGACGAAGCGUGAGUGACGGUAAUGGGUAAAGAAGCACCGGCUAACUACGUG
rnacentral:rRNA from 1 species